CCAGGAAAACAUCUUCAGACA
rnacentral:miRNA from 1 species